rnacentral:rRNA from 1 species
GAUGAACGCUGGCGGCGUGCCUAAUACAUGCAAGUCGAGCGAACGGACGAGAAGCUUGCUUCUCCGAUGUUAGCGGCGGACGGGUGAGUAACACGUGGAUAACCUACCUAUAAGACUGGGAUAACUUCGGGAAACCGUAGCUAAUACCGGAUAAUAUUUUGAACCGCAUGGUUCAAAAGUGAAAGACGGUCUUGCUGUCACUUAUAGAUGGAUCCGCGCUGCAUUAGCUAGUUGGUAAGGUAACGGCUUACCAAGGCAACGAUGCAUAGCCGACCUGAGAGGGUGAUCGGCCACACUGGAACUGAGACACGGUCCAGACUCCUACGGGAGGCAGCAGUAGGGAAUCUUCCGCAAUGGGCGAAAGCCUGACGGAGCAACGCCGCGUGAGUGAUGAAGGUCUUCGGAUCGUAAAACUCUGUUAUUAGGGAAGAACAUAUGUGUAAGUAACUGUGCACAUCUUGACGGUACCUAAUCAGAAAGCCACGGCUAACUACGUG